rnacentral:rRNA from 1 species
AUGACUAGGGAUAACCUUAGGAAGAGACACAUCAUCAAACCCCUUGAUUGUGUUUACUGCUUGGAACAAGAGUCUUGUUCUCACCUAUUUUUUGAAUGUAUAGUUGCUAAACAUCUCUGGGCCCACAUUGAGGAAUAUUUCUCUAGUCAGAUUGGCUCAUCCUUCGGAUCUGUCGCCAGAUUCUGGAUUGCUACCAAAAAGUGCUCGGUUUUAGACAUUGUUAGCUCAGCUGUCCUUUGGUGCCUCUGGAAAUAUAGAAAUGCUAUGAUUUUCAGUAACACUUCCUGGAUUUCCAUUCCGCAGGUCUUGAGGUUGAUCAGGAACAUGGUGAGGAACUGGGCGAUUCUCUCCUCCGGAUCGGACAAACGACAAGUUGAUGAGCUUCAUGGAAACCCUAACAAGAUCCCUCCAGAAACCGUUGGCGAUCACUUGUGGCUGAACAAGGCUCGGCCUGCUCUAGGGCUGGACCCGUGGGCUCGUCUCAAGAUCUCUGAUGAAGAUGAUGGGCACCUGGAGCCAAAAAAGAGGGACAUCCACCAUGCUACGCCUUCUAGCCCGGUGUCUCCGCUUGCUUACUAG